rnacentral:rRNA from 1 species
GACGAACGCUGGCGGCGUGCUUAACACAUGCAAGUCGAACGGAAAGGCCCUGCUUUUGUGGGGUGCUCGAGUGGCGAACGGGUGAGUAACACGUGAGUAACCUGCCCUUGACUUUGGGAUAACUUCAGGAAACUGGGGCUAAUACCGGAUAGGAGCUCCUGCUGCAUGGUGGGGGUUGGAAAUUUUCGGCGGUCGGGGAUGGACUCGCGGCUUAUCAGCUUGUUGGUGGGGUAGUGGCUUACCAAGGCUUUGACGGGUAGCCGGCCUGUGAGGGUGACCGGCGACAUGGGGACUGAGAUACGGCGCAGAGUCGUACGGGAGGCAGCAGUGGGGAAUAUUGCACAGUGGGAGGAAGCCUGAUGCAGCAACGCCGCGUGCGGGAUGACGGUCUUCGGGUUGUGAACCGCUUUCGCCUGUGACGAAGCGUGAGUGACGGUAAUGGGUAAAGAAGCACCGGCUAACUACGUG